rnacentral:miRNA from 1 species
UAGGGUGACCAGCCAUCCUGGUUAGCCUGGGACUGAGGGGUUUUCUGUCACUGCUAAAACCAAGAUGGU